UUGCACCUUGGUGCAGUCAGUAAGACCGUCCUGACUUUAUAUAUAUAUAUACACACACACACAUAUAUAUACUUAUGUACUUCGUGCAUUACUGCUAGUCCCCAUGGAUAAUAAAUC
rnacentral:ncRNA from 1 species